rnacentral:rRNA from 1 species
UACGGGGGGAGCAAGCGUUGUUCGGAUUUACUGGGCGUAAAGGGCGCGUAGGCGGCGCAACAAGUCACUUGUGAAAUCUCCGGGCUUAACCCGGAGCGGUCAAGUGAUACUGUCGUGCUAGAGUGCGGAAGGGGCUACUGGAAUUCUCGGUGUAGCGGUGAAAUGCGUAGAUAUCGAGAGGGAACACCUGCGGCGAAGGCGGGUAGCUGGGCCGACACUGACGCUGGAUGCGGCGAAAGCCCAGGGGAGCGAACGGG